rnacentral:lncRNA from 1 species
UGGUUGGAACCAUAAGCUGCUCAUCCAGGGCCUCCACUCCGAUUCUACUGCACAGAGGGCUGGCAACGGUAGCAUAGCCUAUCACAGGAUCGCAGUGGGCAAUAUUAGAAAACCUAGCACUUUUCAAUCUGGAGGGCAGAAUGACAGACACAGCAACCUUCAGAAGGAAAACAUCCUCUUUCAAAGGCUGCAACGAAUGGCAUUGUAAUCCAAAGAGCUGGUGCCCUUUGGCACCACCCAGGAGUUGAACUCUUCUUCCCUCUGAUUCUAACCAUGCUUUAAGCAAGAGUCCAUCCUGCUGCUCCAAAAGCUCACUUCUCAGCACAGAUGAAGGUCACUCCCACCCUGUGCUGGGGAGCCAGUAUCAUCUCCUUAGAGGACAGAUCAUGAGAUUCUGAGGAGCCCCGAGUAACCACCACCCUGAGAGAGCAAGAGAGGAGCCACUCUGACAGGGGAGAGAGCUGACAACGGCUGGGAUUGAGGAAAAUCAGAAGGCUGAGUUUCAAAAAGUACAAUAAACAAAAUAAAACAAAUGGAAAGGAACAAAGAAUAGAUGUGAGACCACACGGCCAGAGUCAUCCCAGGACAAAGCUCUGGCUCCCAUCUGUUCACCAGAGAAAAUACUAAACAUGCUAAAUAAAACAGGACUUAGA